GAUGAACGCUGGCGGCGUGCCUAACACAUGCAAGUCGAGCGAUUCUCUUCGGAGAAGAGCGGCGGACGGGUGAGUAACGCGUGGGUAACCUGCCCUGUACACACGGAUAACAUACCGAAAGGUAUGCUAAUACGAGAUGAUAUAUAAAAGUUGCAUGACUUUUAUAUCAAAGCUUUUGCGGUAUAGGAUGGACCCGCGUCUGAUUAGCUAGUUGGUAAGGUAACGGCUUACCAAGGCGACGAUCAGUAGCCGACCUGAGAGGGUGAUCGGCCACACUGGAACUGAGACACGGUCCAGACUCCUACGGGAGGCAGCAGUGGGGAAUAUUGCACAAUGGGCGAAAGCCUGAUGCAGCAACGCCGCGUGAGCGAUGAAGGCCUUCGGGUCGUAAAGCUCUGUCCUCAAGGAAGAUAAUGACGGUACUUGAGGAGGAAGCCCCGGCUAACUACGUGCCAGCAGCCGCGGUAAUACGUAGGGGGCUAGCGUUAUCCGGAAUUACUGGGCGUAAAGGGUGCGUAGGCGGUCUUUCAAGCCAGAAGUGAAAGGCUACGGCUCAACCGUAGUAAGCUUUUGGAACUGUAGGACUUGAGUGCAGGAGAGGAGAGUGGAAUUCCUAGUGUAGCGGUGAAAUGCGUAGAUAUUAGGAGGAACACCAGUAGCGAAGGCGGCUCUCUGGACUGUAACUGACGCUGAGGCACGAAAGCGUGGGGAGCAAACAGGAUUAGAUACCCUGGUAGUCCACGCCGUAAACGAUGAGUACUAGGUGUCGGGGGUUACCCCCCUCGGUGCCGCAGCUAACGCAUUAAGUACUCCGCCUGGGAAGUACGCUCGCAAGAGUGAGACUCAAAGGAAUUGACGGGGACCCGCACAAGUAGCGGAGCAUGUGGUUUAAUUCGAAGCAACGCGAAGAACCUUACCUAAGCUUGACAUCCCAUUGACCUCUCCCUAAUCGGAGAUUUCCCUUCGGGGACAAUGGUGACAGGUGGUGCAUGGUUGUCGUCAGCUCGUGUCGUGAGAUGUUGGGUUAAGUCCCGCAACGAGCGCAACCCUUGCCUUUAGUUGCCAGCAUUAAGUUGGGCACUCUAGAGGGACUGCCGAGGAUAACUCGGAGGAAGGUGGGGAUGACGUCAAAUCAUCAUGCCCCUUAUGCUUAGGGCUACACACGUGCUACAAUGGGUGGUACAGAGGGUUGCCAAACCGUGAGGUGGAGCUAAUCCCUUAAAGCCAUUCUCAGUUCGGAUUGUAGGCUGAAACUCGCCUACAUGAAGCUGGAGUUACUAGUAAUCGCAGAUCAGAAUGCUGCGGUGAAUGCGUUCCCGGGUCU
rnacentral:rRNA from 1 species